GGAGCCGUUCCCUCUUCCUAAGCAAAGUGUGGGUGCGAAUGGGUGGGAGGGAUCAGAUCGUAUCCACUGCCCCCACCCCAACCCCGCCCCCACUUUAGAGGGCUGGGUUCAAGGCCAGAGCAGAGAGCCCCUCCCUGUUCCUCUCUGGUUAGCAGGAGGCUGUGCUGUCCUAGCCGGCCGAGCGGGCAGCCUCCUUCCCUCCCUGGCACUGGAACCCUGCCCUGUUGGCCUUGGCUGGGAGCGUCUCUCAGCCUCCUCCCAGAGCCCUGUCUGCUCCAGGGCCUGUCUCUUCCUCGCUCAAGCUCUGCAUCAUCUUCCUCCCUCUUAAUACUCCUACUUAACCUCAGGAUGGAGAGUUCUGGGGAGGCCCAGCCCCA
rnacentral:lncRNA from 1 species